AAAAAGAAAGAAAAAAAAAAAAGAAAGAAAGAAAUCAAGCAAGGCAAUUUCAGGCAACUCCAGCUUUAGAAUAGAUAGGUACAGGUGCCAUGGAAUAGCCCCAGCUGAUCUUGCUCACGAACGCAGGGGUAGGGGUUCAGGACAGUAUUGAGCUGGUGAGGCCCUGCAGAGACACACGCUGAGCCGCGUGUAUCUUUGCUGCUGCCAAAUUUGUCCAGACUUAGGGCUGGGCCCACUGCUGGCCGCCUCCUCCCACCCCCUUGCCUGGUUCUCUUUGAAAGCAAAUUGCUCUGCAGGCUAUUUAUGACAUGUCUCAGGCAGCUGCCGGCUUGGCAGCUUCUGGAGGAGCGUAGUGUUUGCGGGGCAGGUAAGAAACCACAAAGGUUAGCUGCUUUAUCGCAGAUCUGCGCAUUUGGGAGUUUGUGCUCGGCCUUUGCUUAGCUCUGCUACCUUCCUCAAGACGGUCCCACAGAUAGCCUCAGAAAGGUUAACCCGUUUCCUUGAACCCACACAGCAAUGAAGUGGUAGCUCCCUACUCCCUGACAGUUCUGUUCUAAGCUGAAUGAGAAGGCUUAGGCUGGAGAGAGGGAACUGUCACAACCCAUGAACUCCUGAUGGGCCACAAACAAGCAAGGAACUUGACCCAGUAGCUGGGGACAUUCCGAGUGUACACUCAGGUCUGACUGAGUCUAGACUUUCCACACUGUUUCCAAGUCGGCUCAAAAAAAUGACAGAUGAUGAAUAGAAAAGACACACGCAUUAAGGGUUUGUGGACUGCACCAUUGGGUUCAGAAUCCAGAGACAGGGAAAGAAGAAUGUGGAGGGGACUGCAGAGCCAGCUGCUGAACUCAUUAAUAAAUGUCUUUGGGAGAGCAUUUAGGAAUGCAGGAUCAUAAUAUCCAAACAAGAAUCUGAGCACAACAUAGAAAGCAAAACCAGAUCAUAUUAUUAAUCCUCAAAAAGUCACGCUACUACCUGUAGUGGAAACUAGAGUUUAACCUUGAGAGCCUCACUUAAGGGGUGUGUGUAAGCCCACACGGACCCUGACACCCUUUCUUCCCUAACCCCGCCCAGAAUGCUCACAUGAUUUCUUUGUGAAUCACAGCACCUGCCUACCGGCCAGAAGUAAAGCUUUCUCCUGCCUUGUCAUCCACUGUUAUUUCUGCUCUCUUGGCCAUCUACGAUAACAUUUGUCAUUCACGCGUCUCAAGGUUGUGCCUUCUCUUGAUGUCUGACGUCACAGGAGAGGAUCCAGCCAGGUGUUGUGUAACACACUGGUCCCAGCUUAGGAGCUUAAAACCGGACAAAUUCUGGCCUAACAUUUCCUGUGGGUCAGGAAGCCAGGCAUAGCUUAUCUAACUCAUUGGUACUGCGAUGUCUCUCAAGCAACAAGGAGGCGCUGCCUCUAGCUAUGAUUCUCCCAGCUAAGGUUGGCGCUGUCCUCAGGCUUCCUCAGUGAUGAGUGAUGGAAUCUGGUUUCUUGAGCAUGGUUGGACUGCUCAGUUCCUUGUCAUGUGGGGCCUCUCUACUGGGAGCUUCAUCAAAGUGAACGCUCGAAGGAGAGGGUGGGGUUAGCAAGUGAGGACAGGGAAACCAUGCCAGCAGUCUUGGGCAGCACAACCAUGGAAGUCUCCUCUCAUUAUUUUAGCUACAUUCUUCUUGCUAAAAGGAAGUAUCGGGUAUAGCACCCCUUCGUGAGGAAAGGGUUAUUCAAGGGUAGAGACAUCAGGAUGUGAAGUCCAUUGACCACAAUCUUGGAAACUGUCUCCUGCAGAAAUUAUGUGUCAUGUCUAGUGAGCACCGUAUGUACUUCCUCUAAAUGCCCCAGGAAGAAAUAGCCACACUGAAUUUCACAUUUCCCUAUACUCUUGCUUCUUACACUCACUUCAGAGGACGGAGCACUUACUAUGAUAGCAGAUAAAAGAAACUGAAGGUUCCCUCUUCUGCUCCAUAUUACUUAUCCUUUUCACCACGAAGCAGCCAGGAUGCAUUUCCUAAAACUCAGAUCUGAUCAUGACAACCCCUGUUCAGAAUUUUUCAGUGGCUCAUGGUGUCUAUCACACAUCUUAUCGUGAGUCUGGAGGUCUUGGGUACCGGCCUGGAUUCCCUGUCCCAUCUCACUGUUCUCACAUCACCUCUAGUUGACUCCAUGUCAUCAGCCAUGCGUAUGCUCUGGGUAUUCUUUUAGGCAAGGCAUUUUCUCUCCCCAUCUCCCUAUCAAAAUUCUGUCCUCCUCAAGCCCCAUCACCCCCAGAUAAAUGAACACUCUUUCUCUCAUCCGGAGUGUCCAUGGGGGAGAGAUGAUGCUAGCGGUUUAUCACUGUUCCAGUUAGGUUGAUCGUUUCUGUGAAGAAAUGUCAUGACAAAAGCAACUUGGGGAGGAAAGGGUUUAUUUGGCUUACACUUCCACAUCACUGUCCAUCACUGAUGGAAGUCAGGACAGAACUCAAACAGGCCAGGAACCUGGAGGCAGGAACAGAGAUGCAGUACCUGAUGCAGAGGGUAUGGAGGGGUGCUGCUUACUGGCUUGCUUCCCAUCGCUUGCUCAGACUGCUCUUUUUUUAAGAAAUAGAACCCAAGACCACCAGCCUAGAGGUGGUAUCACCCACACUGGGCUGGGCCCUCUCCCAUCAAUGACUAAUUAAGAAAAUUCCCCACAAGUUUGUCUAUAGCCUGACAUAUGUAGACAUUUUCUCAGUUGAGGUUCCUUCCUCUCAGAUGACUUUAGCUUCUGUCAAGUUGUCAUAAAAUCUCCAACACAAUCACUCUGCCCUUAGUCUCUUGCAUUGUAUCUGGUGUCAGUCAGUGUUAUGGUUGAUGAUAACAUUUUAGAAGAUAAUAACGGAAGUUCCCUAGGCAAAAGGGCCCGGGGUCUCACUAGGUGCAACACUGCUUCUUUACACUUGGCUCUUGGCCUCUUCCUCAGUGAAGGGAAGCCCUCCCUGAGAACCGAAAGUGGUGACAACACACCUUUGGGCUACUAUGUUUCUAGGGCUCCAAAAUAGAUGGAGAUGUACUUAUACCAAUGAAUGUAUGGUAUGGUUUUUGAAUGAAAGAUUUAAGAGUUUUGGACAAAAAAGAUAGCACAUCAUCCCUGCAAAUGGCACAUAAGUCAACACUGAUUAAUAUGCAGGAUGCAAGGUGUUUUGCAUGGAGUCAUCACCCAUGUCACAUUGACAACAUUGUAAAUGUAUAUCAUUAUUCCCAUUUCACAGAUGAGAGGACAUAAAUCCAGGGAGGUACUGGUGCUUAGCCACAGGAGACAGAUACUUAGUGUAAAUUGAGUUGGACCAAAACAAAGAUGAGUGCUACUAUUUUGUAAGCCUUUAGUAUGUGCCAAACUUUUACCAGCACUUAAUAUUGGUUCUCUCAUUCUACCUUCCUUGAAACCAUCAAAAUCAGAUACAAUUAUCUUUGAAUCAAAAUGAAAAAAUAUUUAAAGAGUUUAUGAAUAUUGUCUCUGAUUAUGUAGAUAGAAAGAGGCCAGCAUUCAUAUUCUUUUCCAGUACAUAUCUAAUUGCAGUGGCAUUUUAAUGAAGAACUCAAUUUCCAAGUAUGAACUAUUUUAGGACAUAUGUUAGAACCCCAGACCAAUAAUAGCGGUGAAGACUAGCCUUUUAUUCUUGGUUAUUUUCCUAAAUAAUAACACUGGCAUAAAUAUUUAGAAGACUUGAAAUCAUCACUUUUAGACAAGCCAUGAAAUAUCUUACAGUGAACUUUAACUCUACUUGACAGAGAAAUUAAGGCUAAUUUAAAGCCAGCCAUGAAAAUGUAACUCAUGUGCAUGCUAGUCCACGAAGGGAAACAUGCCACUAUACAAGGACUUGGGAGCGUUUUUAUUUCCUGCUGUCUUGAAAGCAAUUACUAAACCAUAACUGAGGAUUUUAUUUCUCCUGCUGGCUUUUCACUUGCAUUAUGUAGCUGAUGGUGGUGACAUUAAAUACUCUGAAUAUCAUGGCCUUCGAGGGUGGGCCCACAGCCCCCAUACUCCAUAUCUUUCUUUUUCCCAGCUAGAGUGUGUCCUCUCUCCCUCCUUAAUUCCACACUGGGAUCUGAACCCAGGCCUGUCUGGUAUACAAGUCUGUGCACUGCCCUCACACAAACCCUUCUCAAGGUCUUUUCUUCCACCAGUGCAGGCCACUGUAUUAAACGUGAAGCAUGGAGCCCAGGAAGGUUGAAAGUUGGUGUGUACCUGCGCAAUGGAAGACCGUGAUAGUCUCUCUGGAUCAAAACAUAAUUCCACCAGUUCCUCUGAAUCCUCCAGGCGUAAAUGAAUAGGAAGGCUUUCCAAGUCUUAUCAACCAGGGGGUGGUAGGAUUUGUUCAUUCCUUUGUUUGUUUAGUUGCUUUGUUUUGGUUUUUGACAGGCUUUUAUUAUGUAGCCCUGGGUGAUCUUGAACUCACUGUGUGAACUGGCCUCAGACUUAUAGAGACUGGACUGCAUCUGCCUCUGUCUUUGCCUCUGCUUCCCAAGCUCUGGAUCUAAAGCUUGUGCUCCAUGUCCAGUGGUUUCAGAAGCAGGCUGAUGAUUCGUGUUAGCUGCAAGUUUCCAUUUGCCUGUGUUUCUCAGGAGCCAUCACAGAUCUGUGGCUUCAGGCACUCAAGGGCCAGGGCUUAGAAAGUUGUGUGACCAAGCCCCUAAAGGAUUCUGGUAGCUAGUCAGACAGAAGUCACCAGUUCCUCCCGCUCUACCAAGCACCUGCUGUAAAACAGAACCUGACCCCAUGAAGUCUCUUGCUCUUGACCCUUCAUAAACCCCAAAAGGAUGCUGCCUUGGUAGCUGGUGGGUGUUUGGCCCAAUGAAUGGCAGCAAGAUUUUCCAUUUCUCUAAGGAGGUUCACCAUUUAACUAGCCUCUUGCAUACCUAAACCCACUAAAACACUUGUUCCUUGCUGUGUAUCUCAGAAUUCUAAGCAUGAAAUGCAAAACAAGGAUGAUGAUGAUGAUGGUGAUGAUGAUGAUGGUGGUGGUGGUGGUGAUGGUGGUGGUGGUGGUGAUGAUAAUGAGGAGGAGGAGCAUAGCAUCUACAGUUACUUUGGGAACAUAUAGCGUGUGUAUUGUAUUAUCUUUAAGCUCAGCAGCUCUGUACGUUGUGUCUCCAUUUUUCACAUGUGAAAACUGAGUCAGAGUGUGAGGUGUCAGCCGGAGCAAGGUUCAAAUCCAGUUCCUAGGAACUCCUGCCCCAGUUCCUUGUUCCCCAGUGGCUGAGUCGUUUUGAACAAAUUGCUGAGACUCUUGAUGCCUUUUCUUCUGCAAAGGUGCCGGGUUAGGGGGCAAACAACCAGUUCACAAGGCUGUUGCUGAAAUCCAACAAACCGAUUUAUGUGAAACAAAAGCACGGGGCUAUGAAAUAUCAUCAUAGUCAUUUGGUAAACCAUAGCCUCCCAAAUACAUCUCGGAAAAUGUUUGACCACUCUCAACCUACAGGUUGAAAAUAAUUUCGGCAUUAGUGAUUCUUAGUACUCAGCAGCAAAGAAAAGAUCGCAAGGCAGCCUUCAGUUAAGCCUGAGGAUGGUAUUAGCUAGUAUUAUUUUUUAAAUCACUUGGUCUUUACAUUUCAUCUGGCCAAGAAGGAAAGGGGGCCCUUUCCGCCUGAUUUGGAGUGGAAUUACUUGGGUAAUCACCCUCUCCCCGUUGUGCUUGGAGAAGGCUGCUACUGCAAGAAUAUACCAUUAAGUUCUUGCUUUGAUUUCGGCUGUUAAUCCCAUGGCCCAGCUUGACAUUGUCUCUUAGCAACCUCCUGUCCUUUUCCCCUUUUCAUUCUUGUGUCUCUAACAACACUUCCUCUCUCUGGUUUUUCUUCAGCUGGCCUGCGGCUUUCAAGGCCCCUUAAGCCUAGUGUACACAGAGAAGUGGGAGCCCGGAGCCCAUGCGCACGUUUAUGUUAAUAGUCUGAGGGGAGGAACAUGCUGUUCUGGAAGCUGCUUUCCAACUGUCACAUAAAUCAGUCAGGGAGAAAAAAAAAGGGUUACUAUUUUCACAAAGACACUGCCAAGGAGAGCAGCGGGUCUUGGCUAUGCGUCAGCACCCAGCCCCACUCCCCAGAGCUGAGCUUUCUCAAGUGUUGCCUGUGUUCGCCACUGUUCUGUAGUGUUGACUUAUUUCGUAGAUGCAGAGGAUUUCCAAGUCAGAAGGGACCUUUGAGAUCAUCUGCGACUCCAUCAAAUGGAAACUUCCAGGAGGAGAAGCUAAGCAUUACUUCUGCAGAUUCUCAAAGGAGUCCAUGUUCCAAGAUGAGAUGGGUACCAGUGGGUCAUGUUCCUUUACUUUAGAAGAGGUAAUUCUGAGAUCCUGAGGAGGACCUCCAAAGCUGGAAUAACAACUGGACUAUUUGACACUAUUGUGUUGUUUACUGAUGUUGCCUCCUUGUAGGAAGCCUAUGGCUAUUUUAUUUGUCAGAAUGAGAAGAAAAAAAACUCCUUCCUGUCAACUCAGCUUAGGAUUCCUGGACAGUUUAAGAAGCCCCGUUGAUCAGAUCAUUGGUGCUGAGGAGGAAACGCCCAUUCCCAGAGACAAACCACUGAAAGGCACUUCCUGCUCAUCCCAAUUUGACAUGGGCAGUGAGUAGUUCCUGAUAUAGCAGCCCUUUCUGGAAACUACCCCCUCACACACGUAACCCCCGCUUCCUUCUUUAAGUAGCUGCAUUAGGGGUGCCUCUGUGGUAGGUUACAGAGAAGAAUAACUAGAUAGUGUCGGGGAAAGCACUUGGGGAGCUGAUUUGCUUCUGCUUCUCUGGUUAUCUCUCUAAACAGGCGAUGUUUUUGUUGAAUAGAUACAACCAGUGUUCUCGGAUUUGGGGGACUUAGAGUGAUAUGCCACAGGCCCAUUGGCACAUCCGUGUGAGCAGUUUGGGAUAUCGCUGUUGUGAUUGGGAAGCACCACCGUUCUAAAGCUCCAGCGCGGAGUCCAGCAGGGUACCACGAUGCAGGGCCCUCAUUAAUGACAAUCUGCUUAGUGCGUUCUGAAUGGAGUUUUAGGGGAUAAAAUCUUUACAAUGAAAUAAGAUCUCAAGGAAAGAUUAGGCUCUAGUAAAAGCAAGUUAGGUUUUAAGAGUGGUUUUCUAUAUUAAACACUGUUGGCUUUCAUUUACACUUAGAGAAAUGUGUUAUAUUUAGCUGACUCGUAGUCCUCAAGAAAUAAGAAUGGACAUUAUACUUUAAUAUUAAUAAGUUGCAUACACAGAAGUAAACACUUUUGGUGAUAGAAGGUGACUAUAAAUGCCAGCAAGUUUGUUUGCUCUUUCUUCAUAGUACCAUCCAUGCUUAAUUAAAAAGAAAAAAAACCCAAAGAUUUUUUAAACAUUUAAAGAGGUGAUGAAUUAUAGCAAUGAGGGUGAUUAGGGAUUCCACCUUCCAUUCCCCCUCCACCAUUAUACUUUCUUUUAAGAAGUCAUGAUGCUCCUUACUUUCCACAUCAUGAACGCCAAACUGAGAGAGGACUGAGGGGUGGGGAAGAUGGUUCCGUCGAUAAAGUACAUGCAGAAUAAGCAUGAGGACCCGAGUUCCAUUUCCAGAACCCACAUAAAAAAGUCAGGAAUGAUGGCAUGCGUUUGUCAUCCCAGUGCUGAGUGGGUAGAGACAACUGGAUCCUGGGGCUUGCUGACCAUCCAAUCUGAUUGAAGAGAUGAACUACGGGUUCAAGGGAGGGUCUUGUCUCAGAAAACAAGGUGAAUGCCUCCUGAAGACUUAUCCCUGCAGUUGAUCUCUGGCUUCCACGAAUGUGCAGGUGCCCAUAUGCACUCACAUAAACAUGCAAACCUGUAUCUCACCAAGGGCACUUAAGUAGUCCAAUUUAAUUGACUUAUAAUGUCCUACAGAGAGCAUGGUCAACAGUAACUUCAUUUCUUUCAUGAGCACCGAGCUAUCUGAGAGUUCUCUAUAUGGCAUCAGCAGAAAAGCAGACUUAUGCAUCUAUAAUUUCUUUCUUCUAUUGACAGUAAUAAGGAAAGUUGCCAACAACCCUCAAGGUCACCUUCCACUGAGUGUCAGAAUUCUUACUGUGCCCAAAUGCUAAGAAUUGAAAAAGGAAAUGAGAUGUGUGAAAUGCAACUUGAGCCCAGAGCAAUAGCAUAACAUGCAGGGAGUUUAUAAAUAAACAAAAUGUUUAGCUCAACCUUCCAUGCUCACAUAACAGUGGGAAGAUACCAAUAAAUCUCCUUACAUUGUCCCAUGUCAAAUUCACUCUUCAUUUGUGAGUUAGAUGAGACCUUCUGCUCUAAGACCUUCCCUCAAGCUCUAUGGUUUCCCAAGUCACCUAAUCUUUUUCCUUAUCACUGCUUAUGUUCCAAGAGGAGCUGGCUCCAUUUGUAUUUAUUGUGACAAUGAUUUACUAUUCUAAACAAUUACUAUUUACCAUUACUAAAAACAAUUCUGUAUAUAAGAGCCUUUUUAUCCCCUCCUCCUCCUUUUCCCCCUCCUUCUUAAAUAAAGGAAUUUGAUUCUACUGUGGUGACUCAG